rnacentral:misc_RNA from 1 species
UAUAGGCUUCCUCUCUCGAGUUUCCUUAGGAAUCCAACUAGGACAAAUAGCUGAGUCUGCCUCUGAUAACUCGGGUAAGUUCCUGAAUAUGAAUGGUUCAUCUACCCAAUCACUUUCUUCCAAAUCACCAAGGCAAUAACUUAUAUCAUUUUCUUGAUCUGAUUUCAUAUGAUGGAUUGCCAAAUAAAAACAAUCGUCAUCUGAGUUCAUCAUAACACCUUCAA